rnacentral:rRNA from 1 species
UACGUAGGGGGCAAGCGUUGUCCGGAAUUACUGGGCGUAAAGAGCUCGUAGGUGGUUUGUCGCGUUGUUCGUGAAAACUCACAGCUUAACUGUGGGCGUGCGGGCGAUACGGGCAGACUGGAGUACUGCAGGGGAGACUGGAAUUCCUGGUGUAGCGGUGAAAUGCGCAGAUAUCAGGAGGAACACCGGUGGCGAAGGCGGUUCUCUGGGCCUUACCUGACACUGAGGAGCGAAAGCGUGGGGAGCGAACAGG